rnacentral:rRNA from 1 species
GCAUAUCAAUAAGCGGAGGAAAAGAAAAUAACAAUGAUUCCCUCAGUAACGGCGAGCGAAGAGGGAUAAGCUCAAAUUUUAAAUCUGUUGGGUUCCACUCGACAGAGUUGUAUUUUGAAGAAACGUUUUCUGCGUCCAGGAUUAGCCUAAAUCCUUUGGGAUAAGGUAUCAUGGAGGGUGAGAAUCCCGUUCAUGGUUAAUCUUAAGGAAGCUCUACGAUACGUUUUCCAAGAGUCGAGUUGUUUGGGAUUGCAGCUCAAAAUGGGAGGUAAAUUUCUCCUAAGGCUAAAUAUUGGCGAGAGACCGAUAGCGAACAAGUACCGUGAGGGAAAGAUGAAAAGAACUUUGAAAAGAGAGUUAAACAGUACGUGAAAUUGUUGAAAGAGAAACGAUUGAAGUCAGUCAUACCAACGGGAAAUCAACCUUUUGAGCUUGGUCUCGUGGGUUUGAAGAGUUUCAAAGCCUUCGGAUUCGCGGGAUUGGGAUCUCUUGGUGUACUUUUUCGUACGGUUAGUCAACAUCGGUUUUGAAUGUCAUAAAAUGACUGGAGGAAUGUAGCUUCGAUCUCGUAUUGAAGUGUUAUAGCCUUUGGUAGAUGUGAUGUUUGAGACCGAGGAUUGCAACGGAUACCCUUCAGGGCUAUUCGUCUGAUCUCUGAUACGUUGCCUUGAUGUUGAAAGCUUGCUUAUGAUGUUAGGGUAUUACGGUCAAAAGGUUAGAACGAAUUACAUUCGUUAAGGAUGUUGACGUAAUGGCUUUAAACGAC